rnacentral:rRNA from 1 species
GGGUGCGAUCAUACCAACACUAAUGCAUCGGAUCCCAAUAGAACACCGCAAUUAAGCGUGUUUGGACGAGAGUAGUACUAGA